rnacentral:rRNA from 1 species
GCAUAUCAAUAAGCGGAGGAAAAGAAACUAACUAGGAUUCCCUUAGUAACGGCGAGUGAACCGGGAUGAGCUCAAAUUUAAAAUCUGGCGUCUUUCAGGCGUCCGAGUUGUAAUAUAUAGAGGCGUUUUCCGCGCCGGACCGCGUCCAAGUCUCUUGGAAUAGAGUAUCAAAGAGGGUGACAAUCCCGUACUUGACGCGACAACCGGUGCUCUGUGAUACGUUCUCAAUGAGUCGAGUUGUUUGGGAAU